GACGAGCGCUGGCGGCGUGCUUAACACAUGCAAGUCGAACGUGAUUUUUGUGGAAAUUCUUUCGGGAAUGGAAAUGAAAUGAAAGUGGCGAACGGGUGAGUAACACGUGAGCAACCUACCUUACACAGGGGGAUAGCCGUUGGAAACGACGAUUAAUACCGCAUGAGACCACAGAAUCGCAUGAUAUAGGGGUCAAAGAUUUAUCGGUGUAAGAAGGGCUCGCGUCUGAUUAGCUAGUUGGAAGGGUAAAGGCCUACCAAGGCGACGAUCAGUAGCCGGUCUGAGAGGAUGAACGGCCACAUUGGAACUGAGACACGGUCCAAACUCCGACGGGAGGCAGCAGUGGGGAAUAUUGCACAAUGGGGGGAACCCUGAUGCAGCGACGCCGCGUGAGCGAAGAAGGUUUUCGAAUCGUAAAGCUCUGUCCUAUGAGAAGAUAAUGACGGUAUCAUAGGAGGAAGCCCCGGCUAAAUACGU
rnacentral:rRNA from 1 species